rnacentral:misc_RNA from 1 species
AACGCACCUUGCGCUCCUUGGUAUUCCGAGGAGCAUGCCUGUUUGAGUGUCUUGAAGUCAUCGACCCCCUCCGUUUUUCGAAGCGUCGGGGGUCGGAGCUGGGGGAACCUUGCUGCCGUCACGGGCGGCUCCCCUCAAAUGCGUCGGUUGGGCCUGUGGGUCGGACUCGACUUUGGGCGUUGUACCAUCCUCGCUCGACACGAGACCGAACCCCUCCCGCGCCCGUCCCCGACCGCCCCCCAGGGUGGCGGCCACGUCUUUGAAAUUCUGACCUCAAAUCAGGUAGGACUACCCGCUGAACUUAA